UUAAUUGAAACCAAACUAGCGGUCUAUCACUGUUAAUGAUAAUAUUGAGAUUACUCCGAUUAAA
rnacentral:tRNA from 1 species